AAGAGAGAGGAGGGAGGGGGGAAGAGAGGGAGAGAGAGACAGAGACAGAGCAAGCGAGUAAGAGAGAGAGAAGAGGAGAGAGAGAGAGAGAGAAAGAAAAACAGAAAGAAACAGAGAGAAAGGCACAGACAAAGCCCUCCUACCAGACAGCAGACAGCUCUCCUUCCCCUAUCCAGCAAAAUGCAACUCGUCUAAUGCAGCAACAGGUUCAGUAUUGCCAGACUAACAGAGUGAAAAAGGAGAAGACGUAUUUGGUUUCUACCAGCAGGAAUCAAAAGGAAUAUAAAGGACCAUGAAGACUCUUUUCUAAAAAACAACCUGAGAGCUAAAUUUAAAAGGAAAACAAAUCUUUUGGCUUAAGUGAAAAAUGAGACCGGGCACAGUGGCUCACACCAUAAUCCCAGCACUUUGGGAGGCCGAGGCAGGCGGAUCACAAGGUCAGGAGUUUGAGACCAGACUGGCCAACAUGGGGAAACCCCGUCUCUACUAAAAAUACAAAAAUUAGCUGGGGGUGGUGGUGCAUGCCUCUAGUCCCAGCUGCUCAGGAGGCUGAGGCAGGAGAAUCGCUUGAUCCCAGGAGGUGGAGGCUGCAGUGAGCCAAGAUCACACCACUGCACUCUAGCCUCGGCAACAGAGCAAGACUCCAACUCAAAUUAAAAAAAAAAAAAGGUGAAGAAGAAGAAGAAGAAUGUACAACAUCUCAAAACUUUUCCCAUAUCUGUACAUUUUACUAGAUUCAAAGCACAAUAAGUAGUACAUUGUUAGUACUUACUGGAAUUCAAGAUAUACUUUCCCUAGUUGGGACUGGAGACAAUAAGGUCUGAAGAAAUCAUUGUAAUUGACUACUAUACUAUGGAAGUUAUAAAGUUAUUUAAUUAAAUUGCUUCAUGUGUUGAUAUGUCAUGGGGCAAUUUGGUUCUGUAGAAAGAUCCUAAAGUGGAAGUUAAAAACUGGUUCUGUCCCAAAUUGAUCUAUAGAUUCAAUUCAAUCCCAAUCAAAAUCCCAGAAAGUUAUUUUGUGGAUAUGAACUAAAUGAUUCUAAAAUUUAUAUGGAGAGGCAAAAGACUCAAAAUAACCAACAUAAUACUGAAAGAGAAGAACAAAGUUGGACAAAUGAAACUACCAGACUUCAGGACUUACUAUAAAGCUACAGUAAUCAAGAAUGCAUGAUGCUGGCAAAAGAAUAGACACAGCAGAUCAGUGCAACAAAAUAGACAGCCCAGGAGAAGGCCCACAUAUGUAUAGUCAACUGAUCUUUGACUUAAAAGGAAAAGCAAUACAAUGGAGCAAAGACAGUAUUUCCAAAAAGUGGUGACGGAACAAAUGGACAUCUACAUGCAAAAAAAUAAAUCCAGACGCAGACUUUACACUCUUCACAUAAAUUAACUCAAAAUGGAUGGAUCAUAAACCUAAAUGUAAAAUGCAAAAUUCUAAGACUCCUAAAUAGGAAAAAAUCUGGAUAACUCUGGGUUUCACAAUGACUAUUUUAGAUACAACACCAAAGACAUAAUCCAUGAAAGAAAUAAUUGAUAAGCUGGAUUUAAUUCAAAUUAAAAAGUUCUACUCUGCAAAAGACACUGUAAAGGUAAUGAAAAGACAAGCCACAGACUGGAAGAAAAUAUUUGCAAAAGAUGUAUCUCAUAAAGGACUGUUAUCUAAAACAUGCAAAGAAUUCUUAAAACUCAACAAUAAGAAAAUAUUAUAACCUGAUUAAAAAUGGGCAGAAGACUUUAACAGUCACCUCACCAAAGAAAAUAUACAGAUGGCAAAUAAGCGUAUGAAAGGGGCUCCAUAUUAUAUGUCAUUGGGGAAAUGCGCAUUAAAAAUAACAAUGACAUACCACUACACAUGUAAUAGAAUGGCCCAAACUCACAGCACUGACAACACCAAAUGAUGAUGAGGAUGUGGAGCAACAGGAACUCUCAUUCAUUGUUGGUAGGAAUGAAAAAUGGUACAGCCACUUCGGAAGACAGUUUGGCAGUUUCUUACAAAACUAAACACAUAUACAAUCCAGCAAUUGCAGUGGUUGGUAUUUAUGCAAAGGAAUUGAAAACUUAUGCCCACAUAAAAACCUACACACAGAUGUUUACAGUAAUUUUAUUCAUGAUUGCCAAUAUUUGGAAGAAAUUAAUAUGCCCAUUAGUAGAUGAAUGGAUAAAUUAUGGUACAUCCAGGCAGUGAAAUAUUAUUUAGUGCUAAAACCAAAUGAGAUAUCAAGCCAUGAAAAGACAUGUAGGAAACUUAAAUGCAUAUUACUAAGCAAAAGAAGCCAAUCUGAAAAGAUUGCCUUCUAUCCACUGUAUGUAUCUAUACACUGUAUGAUUCCAACUAUAUGACAUUCUGAAAAGGCAAAACCAUGGAGACAGCAAAAACUCAUUGUUUGCAAGAGUUUAGGGUAGAGAGAGGGAUGAACAGGAAGAACACAGGAUUUUCAAGGCAGUGAAACUACUUUGUAUAAUACAAUAGUGACAGAUGUCAUACAUUUGUUCAGACCCACAGAAGGCACAACACCAAGAGUGAACCUUAAUGUAAACUAUGGGCCUGGAGUAAUAAUAAUAUGUCAAAGUUGGCUUAUCAUAUGUAACAAAUAUAUGACUCUGGUGGGGGAUAUUGAUGAUGGGGAGGCUGUGCAUGUGUGAAGGCAGGGGGUAUAUGAGAAAUCUCUGUACCUCCCCAUCAAUUUUACUAUGAAACUAAAAUUACUCAAAAAAAAAGUCUAUUAAACAAUAAAUUAAAAGAAAA